rnacentral:rRNA from 1 species
UGAAGUUGGAAUUGCUAGUAAUCGCGGAUCAGCAUGCCGCGGUGAAUACGUUCCCGGGGAUUGUACACACCGCCCGUCACACCAUGAGAGUCGGGAACACCCAAAGUCCGUAGUCUAACCGCAAGGAGGACGCGGCCUAAGGUGGGUUCGAUAAUUGGGGUGAAGUCGUAACAAGGUAGC